UUUGGAGUUUUCUUAAUGUUGUUUUUCAAGUAAAUUUUUAUUUGUGUGACAAAAAUUCCUCUAAGUUUUAUAGAUGUUUUCUGGAGUUAUUAAUAGGGUUAUGUUCUCAAUGAGAACUUCGCUUUGUAACUCCCCUGUGACUUCACUUUGAAUUACAGAAGGUUUUUCAAGCACAUCUUUUGAGUUCCUUUUCCUGAACAAGGGGGGGAGAAUAAAGUAGAACAAAGGUCUUCAAAACAUACAUAAGGACUUGGCCAGAUCCCUGAAGAUGUGUCCCUGCACUGCCAGCAAGAAGCUGCCUCGUGUCCCUUGGCUGGAGGUUGAGAACACAGGCAACAACUGGGAAGAACAGGUGAACACAAGGCAAUAAAUUGGGGCAGAUGCCAGCCCCAAAAGGACCAGACACAGCCCCUGCCUGUCUUAUCUCCCUAGAACUAGGCUGAGUGCUGGAACCCAUGUUAGCUUUGUGCCCUCCUAGAGCUUCAUCUCUGGUGGGUGAACAACUUGGAUCUUAGGUGGCAACAGGACAAGCAUGACUAAGCCCUUGAAAUACAGUAACUGUGGGAAUAGCUGGUGUGAACAGCUUGUAGAGAAUGACUUCAGGUGCAAGGGGUGCUCUGCCAUCCCCUGAGGGUUGCACAGGGCUGCCCCAUUUCACAUGGUGGUCUUGGUUCUCCCUGCUGAACUGGUCAGCUGGGGAAUAGGUUUUCUGAGCAAGUGCAAGGUUUUCAGACAUGGCUUUGCUAUUCCAUGUCUAGAUGUCAAAUGAAAUCAAGGUCAAGGGAGGUGGUGAUGAAGCCUUUCCCUUAAAAUCCCCAUUAUCAAGAGGGUGUAGAAAAGGCUGGGGCCAUCUUGCUUAGAAGCGGGAGCUUCUUCCAGAUGGUCUUCAGGUCAGGUACAAGGCACCAUUAGGAAUUCCUUUGUCACUGAGCAGCUGCUCCAUAAAAGCCCAGCUGAGUUGGCUUGCCCCUUAGCAGGUGCCUUGCUCAUCCUUUUAGGGAACAAACAGGCCAAGCCUGGGCCAGCCUGAGCAAAGGGGAGGAAUAAGUCUCAAAACAGUGGAGCUUAGUGUCACUUCCACCUGGUCCCCUGCCAGAUGCUUCAUGGUUUAGCAGGAAAUCCUCCUUGGUCACCCCCUGCCCCCUCCAUGGUGUUUGGGGUGGGAGGGGAGCAGAGGUGGGUGCAAGCAGUGGUAGCUCUAGGUGGUUGUACCUGAAUGUUGAGUCCAGAGCACUGCAGUGUCCCACGUGCAUGGGAGGGAGGCACUUGAGCAAAGCACCCUAGACCUGAGCUCCCUAGGAAGGAGAGUGAAAAGGUUUUAUGCAUGGGAGGGACUCUCUGUGCUGACUUUGUCUCCCUUGACAACUUAGUGAUGCUUUUUCUGAGCACUGGAAUAGAGACUGGGCUUCCUGAGAGCUGAAUUCACUGUGUCCAAGAGUCUUCAAGGAUGGCCAAGCCCUUAAAAGGCUGAGCAAGGAGGGGAARAAUAAAGYACYACCAGGAAGUCAUGUACCUUUGUACCCUUCUUUCUUUUUGUUUGAAGAGGCUGUACUUAAAUAAAGGCCCUAUUCCUUUUGAUCUGU